GACCUCAAAUCAGGUAGGGACACCCGCUGAACUUAAGCAUAUCAAUAAGCGGAGGAAAAGAAAAUAACAAUGAUUCCCCUAGUAACUGCGAGUGAAGAGGGACAAGCUCAAAUUUUAAAUCUGUUAGGUAUCACCUGGCCGAGUUGUAAUUUGAAGAAGCGUUUUCUGCGCUCUUGAUCAGCCCAAGUCCUAUUGAAUGAGGCAUCAUGGAGGGUGAUAAUCCCGUCCGGUUGAUCAAUGCGUUUUACGAUACGCUUUCAAAGAGUCAAGUUGUUUGGGAUUGCAGCUUAAAAUGGGAGGUAAAUUUCUCCUAAGGCUAAAUAUUGGCGAGAGACCGAUAGCGAACAAGUACCGUGAGGGAAAGAUGAAAAGAACUUUGAAAAGAGAGUAAAAUAGUGCGUGAAAUUGUUGAAAGGGAAACGAUUGAAGUCAGUCGUACCGACGGACAAUCAGCCUUUUGAGUGCGAUUCUGUGGGGCAUGAGGAGGAAACCCUCAUGUUUUGCAUAUUUGUGCUCUUUGGGUGUAUUUGUUCGUAUGGUGGGUUAACAUCAAUUUUGGUCGUCAUAAAAUGACGGGAGGAAUGUAGCUUUGGUCUCGUAUUGAAGUGUUAUAGCCUCUGGUAGAUGUGACGACCGGGAUUGAGGAUUGCAACGGAUACCUCUCGGGGCUACUCGCCUGAUCUCUGAUCGUUACUCUGGUGCCGAAAGCUUGCUUAUGUCAUCAAAGUUGAUGGUCAAAAGGUUAGAACGGGUUAAAUUCGUUAAGGAUGUUGACGUAAUGGCUUUAAACGACCCGUCUUGAAACACGGACCAAGGAGUCUAACAUAUAUGCGAGUGUUCGGGUGAGCAAACCCUUACGCGUAAUGAAAGUAAUUUAGGUGGGAACAUUUUUUGUGCACCAUCGACCGAUCAGGAUAAUUUUUGAUAGAUUUGAGUAAGAGCA
rnacentral:rRNA from 1 species